rnacentral:lncRNA from 1 species
ACACACUUUGUUCUCUUCCAUUUAAUUUCCAUACAUUAUGGAAAAACCUUAGUUUAUAAGACUAACUGGCCAUAGAUUCUUAUUCUGAAUCUUAGGGGUUAGGUGCUGGGUUCAAAGUUGCUGCCCGAAGUUUUGUUUAAAACAAAGUACCACUACUGCUACUGCUACUACUGCUACUACCACCACUACUACUACCACCACUGCUACUACUACCACUACUGCUACUACCACCCCUGCUACUACUCCCACCACCACUACUACUACCACUACUGCUACUACCACCACUACUACUACCACCACCACCACUACUACCACCACUACUACCACCACCACUACUACUACCACUACUACCACCACUACUACCACCACUACUACUACCACCACUACUACUACCACCACCACUACUGCUACUACCACCACCACUACUACCACCACCACCACUACUACCACCACCACUACUGCUACUACUACCACCACCACUACUGCUACUACCAUUACUACUACUACCACCACCACUACUACUACCACUACUGCUACUACCACUCCUACUACUACCACCACCACUACUACUACCACUACUACUACUACCACCACCACCACUACUACCACUACUACUACCACCACUACUACCACCACUACUACUACCACCACCACUACUGCUACUACCACUACUACUACUACCACCACCACUACUGCUACUACCCCUCCCACUACUACCACCACUACCACUACUAACACUACCGCCACUACUACUACCACCACUACUACUACUAUUGCCACCACUACUGCUACCACUACUGCUACUACCACCCCUGCUACUACUACCACUACAACCACCACUACUACCACCACCACUGCUACUACCACUACUACUACCACUACAACCACCACCGCUACUGCUACCAUUACUGUGACUACUACCGCCACUACUACUCCUCCUCCCACUGCUACUACUACUAUCAUUACUAUGAUGACGUCUACCACUACCACUACCACCACUGCUACUACUACCACUACUAUUAGUACGACCACCACUACCACUACUGACACUACUACUACUACUACUACCAC